CCUACGGGCCGCACCAGUGGGGAAUUUUGGACAAUGGGCGCAAGCCUGAUCCAGCCAUGCCGCGUGUCUGAAGAAGGCCUUCGGGUUGUAAAGGACUUUUGUCAGGGAAGAAAAGGCUGUUGCUAACAUCGACAGCUGAUGACGGUACCUGAAGAAUAAGCACCGGCUAACUACGUGCCAGCAGCCGCGGUAAUACGUAGGGUGCGAGCGUUAAUCGGAAUUACUGGGCGUAAAGCGAGCGCAGACGGUUACUUAAGCAGGAUGUGAAAUCCCCGGGCUCAACCUGGGAACUGCGUUCUGAACUGGGUGACUAGAGUGUGUCAGAGGGGGGUAGAAUUCCACAUGUAGCAAUGAAAUGCGUAGAGAUGUGGAGGAAUACCGAUGGCGAAGGCAACCUCCUGGGAUAACACUGACGUUCAUGCUCGAAAGCGUGGGUAGCAAACAGGAUUAGAUACCCCUGUAGUC
rnacentral:rRNA from 1 species